rnacentral:lncRNA from 1 species
UGACCAUAUAAGAGAUCACUUGAAUUUCUAAUCAAUCAUCAGUGAUCAUUUCGAUGCUAUAGUUGUGUGAAUGAUCUUUUGAUCAGUGAUGGUAUGACUACUCAUAGUGAGGCUGUUAGAGUUUGACUGACACAUAAAUAUGGCUUCAUUGAUAUCUUGUAGUGGAUGUUGGUGACAGUUGGUCCACUGUAGGAGUAGGAUAUGCACCUAAAUGGAAUCUAUCAAUUUUAAUAAAGAGGAGUAGUCCUAUGGGAUUUGAGAGGCUAAGUCUGAGAGUCUGUGGCCAUAGCAGUGUAAUGGUUGGAAA